rnacentral:rRNA from 1 species
CAGUCGCCGCGGUAAUACGGAGGGAGCUAGCGUUGUUCGGAAUUACUGAGCGUAAAGCGCGCGUAGGCGGUUACUCAAGUCAGAGGUGAAAGCCCGGGGCUCAACCCCGGAACUGCCUUUGAAACUAGGUGACUAGAAUCUUGGAGAGGUCAGUGGAAUUCCGAGUGUAGAGGUGAAAUUCGUAGAUAUUCGGAAGAACACCAGUGGCGAAGGCGACUGACUGGACAAGUAUUGACGCUGAGGUGCGAAAGCGUGGGGAGCAAACAGGAUUAGAUACCCCAGUAGUCCCUGUCUCUUAUAC